rnacentral:lncRNA from 1 species
AAGGAAAAUAACGAAGAAUUUUAACGGAAAUAUCACGACCACCGCUUGUCCGUGUCUUAAACCUUGGUUCACGGCAUGUCGGACAUUCAGUUAACUCUUUAUAUUCUUUUCGAUACAAUAUACAAUUGUUCGUGCAUGCAUCUAUUUUUUCAUGUUUCAAACCAAGGUUUUUCAAUUUUUGUUUAGCCUUAUAAAACGUAUCUGGAAGCUUGUUAGGUUUUGGUAUGAUUUUCUGAAUAGUUUUCAUCAAGGUAUCGUAGCCUUCCACAGAUAGUCC